rnacentral:rRNA from 1 species
UCUCGUGUCGUGAGAUGUUGCGUUAAGUCGCGCAACGAGCGCAACCCCUGUCUCUAUUUGCUUAAAGAGAUUUUUCUCAGCUCUAUAGAGAGACCAACUUUUUUUUAAGUGGGAAGUUGGGGAUGACGUCAAGUCAGGAUGGCCUUCGGGUUUGGGCUGCACACGUGCUACAAUGUUCAAUACAAUGGGCACUGCUAUCUCGCAAGAGAGUGCUAAUCCUCAAAAUUGAACCUAGUUCAGAUUGCAGUCUGCAACUCGAUUGCAUGAAGCUGGAAUCGCUAGUAAUGGUGCAUCAGCUACGGCACCGUGAAUACGUUCCCGGGCCUUGUACACACCGCCCGUCACGUCAUGAAAGCCGGUGAUUCCCGAUGCGUAGCAAAGUAAAUUUGCUGCACGACGGAGUUGCUGGUAAUUGGGACGAAGUCGUAACAAGGUAA